GCAAAAGUGAGGCACUAAACAACUCAGUGAGACCCUGUCUCUAAAUAAAAUACAAAAUGUGGCUCAGUGGUCAAGUGCUGUGGUAAGCCAUUCUUAUAGACCGUGGCCGCCAUUAGAAGAUGGCGCCGGCUUCCACUGUGGCCUGUGAUAAACAACUCCUUUUUUGGAGAGUUGGCACGCAAUCCCUUACCACCCUAUGAGAGAGAUCCACGUGGCAGCUUGGGAUUGGUAUGCGGGAGGCUUUAUUAGGCUGUGCUUGGGCGCUCGGCCGGGGGGUCGCUAGAAGAUGAUACUUGAAUCGAGGCCUGAAUAAACUGCUGAAAGAAGAAUCCUGUGUCGUGUUUUCCUUUGCCAGCGAGGGGUCGCGACAAUUGGUGGCCCGUACGGGGAACCGAAUAUUCCUCUAACCCAGGAUCCAGAACUUUCAGCAGUCAGGGUGGUGCACCGGUAAGUUCCCAGGUAAAGUGGGAAUCCACAAGCAAAUAGCGGGGCGCUCUCUCUGUAAAUAGAGAGCGGGAAAAAGGACGCUCCCCUGUAAAAGGAAGAGAGCGGGGAAUUCAUAGAACGGAACGCUCCCCUGUAAAAGGAAGAGAGCAGGGAUUUUUGUACUUUCACUUUCUUUAUAGUUCUAAAAACAUUAUGGGCGCUACUUCUUCAAGCCCAAUUUUGUUGGCCCUAGAUGGGUUGCUACGUUCAAAAGGACUUAAGGUAAAGCAGAGCACUUUGCAGAUGUUUUUGAGAGAAGCUGCCGGGGCCGCGGCCGCGGUCUGGGCAUGAGGAUGGCGGUGGGCUCAGUCAAGAUGCAGCCGCCGUGCGAGAACCUGGCCCUGGCCGCAGCGGUGGCGGCGGCGGACAGCGCUCUGCGCCGCAGUCCCAGCGCCCGCGAGCCAGAGCGCGAGCAGCCGCCGGCGUCACUGCGGCCGCGGCUGAAGGACCUGCCUGCACUGCUGCGGAUCGGGCUCACGCUGCGGAGAAAGUGGAGCGCUGCUGGGGGCCGGGACCGGACGGAGCCGGUGUGGGUUCCAGAACGCCUGACAAGAAGAGCCCCGACAAAUAAAUCUGAGGUUAAUAUAACCACUUUGGCCAUUACUUCCCAGGUGUUAAUUCCGUUGUCUCCUUCCAAUCAGACCUCUAAUGCCACUCAUUUUAAGGCUUCUCCUUAUUGCACCCCUGAAUAUGGCUUCCCUCCUAUAUUUACACCUUGUCAAGAUCACUCUUGGGAGAAACAUCAGGUCGCCAAAGGUUUUUCCCUUUCCCCCUCUCUCAAAAGGUACUUGUAUAAUUCUUCCAACAAUAAUUCCUCUAUAGGAGCGGGUUGGUCCUGGUUUCAAUGGUUGAUUUCCAAUGAAAAGGGGGCCACAGCCAAUGUCUCUGCUCUGGCUCAAUUGAGAGGAGUCCAGAGUUGGCUGUUUAAUGUGUCUGGCUCUGUACAGGACACUGCUAAUGGUAGGAGACUUAAAAACAUUUCAUUCAAUUCUCAGGUGUCCAAUGCUACACUAUCCUCUGUAGCAGUCUGUCUUCAUUCUCCGUUUCUGUUCCUUUUGACCAAUGAUACCAAUACUACAGAAUCGGAAAUGAUUGACUGUUCUAAUUGUACAUGUGUCUUGUCUGAGUGUUGGAAUGGAUCCUGGAGCACGGCAGUUGUUAUGAAGGUCCCGACUUUCGUCCCGAUUCCGGUUACUGCGGAUCCGGACUCCUUCCCUAUUAUUGAGGUGCUCAGGAGCCGUAGGGAUUUUGGAAUCACGGCAGCUAUUGUAACAGCGGUUGCAGUAUCUGCUGCUGCAGCGGUCGCUGCCGGAGUGGCCAUGGCUAGUCAAGUGCAGACUGUGGCCACGGUUAAUCAGGUCAUCCAACAAACUUCC
rnacentral:lncRNA from 1 species